CACGUAGGUAAUCUACCUUACAGUCUGGAAUAACCUGCCGAAAGGCGGGCUAAUACUGGAUAGAGCGAUGGAAUCCGUAAUUGGGUUUUUCGGGAAAGGGAGCUCGAUAAGAGCCUUCGCUGUAGGAUGAGCCUGCGUCUGAUUAGCUAGUUGGUGGGGUAAAGGCCCACCAAGGCGAUGAUCAGUAGCUGGUCUGAGAGGAUGAUCAGCCACACUGGAACUGAAACACGGUCCAGACUCCUACGGGAGGCAGCAGUGGGGAAUCUUGCGCAAUGGACGAAAGUCUGACGCAGCCACGCCGCGUGAGUGAAGAAGGCCUUCGGGUUGUAAAGCUCUGUGGGGAGGGACGAACCGCUGCACGUUCAUAGCGUGCAGCAUGACGGUACCUCCUUAGCAAGCACCGGCUAACUUCGUG
rnacentral:rRNA from 1 species